rnacentral:rRNA from 1 species
GACGAACGCUGGCGGCGUGCUUAACACAUGCAAGUCGAACGGUGAAGCGCCUUCCUUUUUGGUGGGUGUGGAUGAGUGGCGAACGGGUGAGUAACACGUGAGUAACCUGCCCCCUUCUUCUGGAUAACCGCAUGAAAGUGUGGCUAAUACGGGAUAUUCUGGGUCUGUCGCAUGAUGGGUCUGGGAAAGAUUUUGUUUCGGUGGGGGAUGGGCUCGCGGCCUAUCAGCUUGUUGGUGGGGCGAUGGCCUACCAAGGCGGUGACGGGUAGCCGGCCUGAGAGGGUGGACGGUCACACUGGGACUGAGACACGGCCCAGACUCCUACGGGAGGCAGCAGUGGGGAAUAUUGCACAAUGGGCGCAAGGCUGAUGCAGCGACGCCGCGUGAGGGAUGGAGGCCUUCGGGUUGUGAACCUCUUUCGCCAGUGAAGCAGGCCUGCCUCGUUUGUGGGUGGGUUGACGGUAGCUGGAUAAGAAGCGCCGGCUAACUACGUG